GCAUCAGUGGAACUAGCUCAAUUGGUAGAGCAUGAGACUCUUCAUCUAAGCAUCAUGGGUUCGAGCCCCAUAUUAGGCA